UACGUAGGGUGCAAGCGUUGUCCGGAAUUAUUGGGCGUAAAGAGCUCGUAGGCGGUCUGUCGCGUCUGCUGUGAAAACUCGGGGCUUAACCCCGGGCCUGCAGUGGGUACGGGCAGACUAGAGUGCGGUAGGGGAGACUGGAAUUCCUGGUGUAGCGGUGAAAUGCGCAGAUAUCAGGAGGAACACCGGUGGCGAAGGCGGGUCUCUGGGCCAUAACUGACGCUGAGGAGCGAAAGCGUGGGGAGCGAACAGG
rnacentral:rRNA from 1 species